AUGGAACAUGUGCACAACGGGAGCCUUGCAUCUGCUGAAAACGUGGCACAGCAAACUAUAAGCUGUUCAGGACAAUCUUGGAGCAGAUCAUUCAGCCAGUGUGAGGGGAAGAAGAGCAGAGAGGAAGAAGAGCUGAGAAAGGUGGCCGUUAUUGAUAUAUUUGACAAAAUUUAUAUGAGUCAGAGAGAGAGAAAAUUGAAGUUAUAUUACAAGAAAGGAAGAAAUGGAGCAUUAUUAAGAAUUCUACUAUAUUAUUAAAAUAGAAAAACCCUAACAAAUAAAGGAGAAGAGGGAGAGAUUUCCGAAGACUUUGUGGUAUCUCACUGCCGUGUUAUGCAACUUAAAACCUGUCCAAAUAUACGAUCUGCCUGGCCGUGGAGUAGCUGAAUUCUUUCUUCUGGCUAUGUUACUGUGUUGGUUUAAAUCCCAGCAGGAAGAUUAAACCUUGUUGUUACCUUGUUCCACCUUUGGCCUGUCAUUCUCCUGCUGAAACCAUGCACCUGCCAGGAUGUAGAUGGUAUGGAAUUAAACAGUGGUAGAAACUCCACCCCUUUUCUCUCUGACCACAAUAGUUACUUUCAUAUUUCUA